AUUGAACGCUGGCGGCAGGCCUAACACAUGCCAGUCGAACGGAGUGGCGGACGGGUGAGUAAUGUCUGGGAAACUGCCUGAUGGAGGGGGAUAACUACUGGAAACGGUAGCUCAUACCGCAUACUAUCAGAUGAGCCUAGGUCGGAUUAGCUAGUUGGUGUGGUAAAGGCCUACCAAGGCGACGAUCCGUAACUGGUCUGAGAGGAUGAUCAGUCACACUGGAACUGAGACACGGUCCAGACUCCUACGGGAGGCAGCAGUGGGGAAUAUUGGACAAUGGGCGAAAGCCUGAUCCAGCAAUGCCGCGUGUGUGAAGAAGGUCUUCGGAUUGUAAAGCACUGUAAGUUGGGAGGCGUUACCAACAGAAUAAGCACCGGCUAACUUCGUGCCAGCAGCCGCGGUAAUAC
rnacentral:rRNA from 1 species